CCCAAGUCCCCCUUGUCUCUGAGAUCUGCGUCUCCCCUGGGGAGGGCUGACUCCACCAGCCAGGCACCUAGCAGGGCCCACUUUCGUCCUCGCAGGCAGCGAUCCCACCAGGCCCGACCCCACGGCGGGGGCGGCCUGGGGUCCCACCGGAGUGCCGGGCAGGAGCUCAAGGGGUGACGUGCCUGCCUCAACUCAGGUCUGGGUGCUGGACCCUUGGGGUCCUCGCAGAGAGAGGGGGCCGUGGGGCAGGGGCUGUUGCCGUAUCCCUGAGGCCCAGGCUCAGCCCGGCGGCCAGGGUGGGUCUGGGGGGUUCUCCUUCCCCCGACACCAGGCCCGCGUCCACUCCCGGGGUGCCGUCUGGGUCCCCAGCAGGGACGGAGCAACGGUGGAGGCCCCGCUCGGACUGGGGUCCUCGGGGGCGGAGGGCGGGGGGCGGGACUCUGAGGCCUGGGCGUCUGGCCCCGCCCUGCGACGUACACGUGCGCACGCCCGUGCGUGACGACCACGCCGCCGGCGCUCUCGAGGGGCUGCGCGGACCCGCCUAGACCGCGAGUUGGGGGCCCUUCCUGGGGGUGGGUGGAGCCCGGCCCGAGGCUCGUGCCUUCCCGCAGCUCCGGGGAGCUUUGCCGUGUCCCAGCCCCAGCCCAGACCCCGGCUGCAGCAAACACCGGUGGACCGUGCUGCCCCCCAGCCCGGAGGAUGCGGUUCUCCUGGGGCAGAGAUGGGGCCGGGCCCGUGAAGCCGGGUCCCCAGUAGGCCUGGCCUCCGGCAGCUUCCUGCCCCAGUGUGGCCCCCGCUCGCCUCGACUGGGAGACGACCACAGCGUGGGGUCCCCGGCCGCCCCUCGCAUCCGCCAGGGCCUCCCAGAGCGACACCCGCUCUGGCUACCGGGAAUGCAGGGGAAACGCACACUCAGGACUAAGGAGUGUGGCCCCCACUUUAGAGGAGGAACUGCCCAUACCACUUUCCCCAGAGUCCACGAGACGGUUGCCCAGCUGUGCCGGCCUGCUGCCCAGGCCCCUGCCACCCCCAAGCCCACCCACAGCCCCCUGGGCCUGGAGGGGACCUCAGUUCAGGUGGGUCAGCUGGUGACAUGUGCACUCGCUCUGCUUUGCUGUGUGCAGUGCCCGCCCCACACCAUCCCGUGUGCCUGUCUGCACCAGGUGUCAGGAGGACCCCCAGCAGAGAGCGUAUUACUGCAAGGCAGUGGCAUCCCUGGAAGGUGAAGAGGCAGAGGGAGCCAUGUAGAGCAUGGAUAUGUGUCCACGUGGAACUUGUGUGUCCAUGCAGAGCUUGUGUCCACGUGGAGCUCAUCACCAGCUGGUGUGCCAGCCCUUGGUGCCUGGAAGCACGUGAGUGGUCCUCUCUCUGGACACCUGCACCGGCCACAAGAAAACGUCAGACGAAACUAGAAUGAGAACCACUCUGCGUGAAAGACAGGCCUGGGCAAACGUGUGCAUGUGCAGACAUGCAGGUGCAUGCACAGAUGUGUGUGCAGACAUGUAUGUGCGUGUGCAGACGCAUGUGCAUGCACAGAUGUGCGUGUGCAGACAUGCAUGUGUGUCCACAGACGUGUGUGCAUGUGCAGACGCAUGUGCAUGCACAGAUGUGC
rnacentral:lncRNA from 1 species